CUGUCCAUGGAGCUGUAGAUGGGACGUCCGAGGCUGUCGGUGGCCCACAGACCGCCUCGCGGUUGCCUCCCCUCCUGGUCGUUGGAUCAUGAUGACCUUUCGAGCGUGAGGGCUGGUUCAUGACGAUGGGCGAGUGGAUGGAGAGAUGUACAGUAUGAGUGAUCUGACAGAGGACAUCUAAGGACACCCGAGGGUGUGCAUGCUUCUGCCGUUGGGAUUUCCGAAAUUCAAAAGGUAUGUUUUUUUUUUUAAUAUCAUCUAUAUUUACUGUAUAUGUCAUGUCAAUAGAAUUUUUCACAACAAAACAAGCAUGUUGUUUGGUCGCCACAUACAUAGAUACAUACAGUGGUGAUGCCCCCAUGGAUGCAAGGCGGUGCAACCUUACAUGUAUGAUAAGAUCACAACAAACCAGGACAAAUCAGUGUCAACAAGUUUAUGAUCUGAAUAAUUUGUCUUUUUACUAGGUUUAGGUGUUUUGGCUUUCCCCAAAUGAUAAAUCGCUCCAAACAAUUAAUU